CCUACGGGAGGCAGCAGUGGGGAAUAUUGCACAAUGGGGGAAACCCUGAUGCAGCGACGCCGCGUGAGUGAAGAAGUAUUUCGGUAUGUAAAGCUCUAUCAGCAGGGAAGAAAAUGACGGUACCUGAGUAAGAAGCUCCGGCUAAAUACGUGCCAGCAGCCGCGGUAAUACGUAUGGAGCAAGCGUUAUCCGGAUUUACUGGGCGUAAAGGGAGCGUAGGCGGCCUGGCAAGUCUGAAGUGAAAUACCGGGGCUCAACCCCGGGGCUGCAUUGGAAACUGGCCGGCGGGAGUGCAGGAGAGGCAAGCGGAAUUCCUAGUGUAGCGGUGAAAUGCGUAGAUAUUAGGAGGAACACCAGUGGCGAAGGCGGCUUACUGGACUGUAACUGACGCUGAGGCUCGAAAGCGUGGGGAGCAAACAGGAUUAGAUACCCGGGUAGUC
rnacentral:rRNA from 1 species